rnacentral:rRNA from 1 species
CGAACGUUGGCGGCGUGGAUUAGGCAUGCAAGUCGAACGCGAACGCUCCCUUCGGGGAGUUAGUAGAGUGGCGAACGGGUGAGUAACGCGUGGGGAACCUGCCUGGGAGUGGGGGAUAACCUUCCUAACGGAGGGCUAAUACCGCAUGUGAAGGCGAGAUCGCAUGGUCCUGUCUUCAAAGAUGGCCUCUGCUCGCAAGCUGUCGCUACCAGAUGGUCCCGCGUCCUAUUAGCUUGUUGGUGGGGUAACGGCUCACCAAGGCUCCGAUGGGUAGCCGGCCUGAGAGGGUGUCCGGCCACACUGGGACUGAGAUACGGCCCAGACUCCUACGGGAGGCAGCAGUCGAGAGGCUUCGGCAAUGGGGGAAACCCUGACCGAGCGACGCCGCGUGGAGGAUGAAGGCUUUCGGGUCGUAAACUCCUGUCAGCAGGGAAGAAAGGCAGGUCGGUCAAUACCCGGCUUGUUUGACGGUACCUGCAGAGGAAGCUCCGGCUAACUCC